CCUCCGCCUCAGCCGGUUGCCUCCGUCGCCCCCGACGCUGACGCCGACGCCGACGCCCCUUCGCCUCCCUCUCGCGACCUCCGCUCCGCUCUCUCCCUCUUUCCUCUGCGGAGCGCCCUUACUGGCCAACCCCGACGCUGACGAACCCCUGCUCGCGUUUUGGACUCCCUCUCCGCGAGUGAAGGUCGCUCUGCUCGCUCUUUCUCUCUUUCCUCCACGAAGCGCCCCCUGCUCCUGAACACGGACGCCGCCGACGCCGUCGCCUCCCGCCGUCGCCUUCCCGAGCCCCACCGAUAGGCACCCUAGCAGAGGCGGAGGGG
rnacentral:lncRNA from 1 species